AGGAGAGGAGAGGAGAGGAGAGGAGAGGAGAGGAGAGGAGAGGAGGUUUUGUAUAUUCUUUGUUGACCAAUAACCAUCGUGAUAUGAUUGUUAGUCAGAUUUUUCACAAAGUUCAUGCUUCCAGGUGCAAUCCUUGCUAAAAAUGUUCUUUGAUGUGGAGAAAUUACUCCGCAAACCUUAGCAUUUUUUCAUAAAGCUUUCUGUAUGCAAUAUAUAUUUAUAUUAAUAAAAAAAUUACCUCCUCUAGAUUAUCCAUCAGUAAAAUGAUGAGUAGCAAUUGAGCGUGUAUUAUCUGUCUUCCCAAACUGCAUUUCACCUGCAAAGAGAUAUUAAAAUAAUAAAAAUUUUAAUUGCCAUGUCAAUAAAUAAGAAGUCAUGAAAUGUUACAGUCGAUUUUUCUGGUGUCCUUCAAUCUGUUCUGAAUGUUCUUAGGUAUGUAGUAAGAGGCAUCUUUUAACUAAAUGAGCACACAUUCAUUUUUCCUUAGGAAAAAUAUACAUUUGCAAACAAUACAUGCAAAAUAUUCAAUUAGUAUGCAGGAUUUACUCCCUUAUGAAUGCACUUUUCAUAUAUUUUUAAGUUGCCUAAUUAAUUAUACUAAUCUAUUAGUAUUUCUCUGUCCUCAUUCUGUCAUUAAGAGCACUAAGCUCCUCGUGUUAAAAAGUCUUAUUUUUCUCCCUUGAAAUGUAUGUGGUUUGUAAAUUUGAUUGUAGAUCAAACUAGAUAUUUGUGAGUCUUUCUUAAUUUGUUCUUUUGGUGGCCUUGAAGGGAAGAAAAGUAUCUAAUCAAAUGAUCUAAUGUUGUCUAGGCAAGAAUUAAGUAACCCUGUUUAUAUCAUUCUUAUUAGUGCUUCAGUUAACCCCCAUGAGACAACUCAUGAAUCAAAUGAACAGGAUUAAGCUUGCUGAUCACUAACUAGUUUGUGUGAUGUCAAAAUGGGCAUUGAUGUAAUAUGAAUAUUAAAAAUCAAGCUAAGGAAAGAAUUUUGAUUCUGAGGAUCGUUCUAAUUUAGAUGGCUCACAACUCAUAUAAUGCAAAGAUUGCCUCCAAUAAUGUAAAGUUGCAGUUCAGCCAAAUGAAAAAGACAGUGGUCUGUUAUUUGAAUUUUGGCACUUAGACCUAAGGAAUAUCUUUUGAUUACACUUGUACAGCUACUAACACACAGGGCUUGCAACCUCAGGGCAAUUAGUGACUAUCCCUUUGCCAUGAAUCAAAGAAAGAGAUCAUCUGUAAUUGUAUCAACCAGAGCAAUAAGACCUCGGAGGAGGUUACCACAGAAUGCACUAAACACCUAAUACUCAAAAAUUAAACUUAGACUUUGCCCCUUAUUCAUCAGAUAUCACAAGUUCUUGCAACAGAUCUUACAUAACAGAUACCAUAAUACAUGAAUUGCAUUGAUCUAAGAGGUAAAAAGAGAUGACGUGUUUACUGUGAAUGUGUUUACCUCUGUGCAGGUCCCAUUAAAUUUCACUUUCCUUUAACCCAAGGAGACAGUGCAGAGUCACAUUUCACAGGGGACAUGUCAACAGAGGGAACUAUAAGUGCCAGAACACAUCACCUGUGGCUCAGUGUCUCUUCUCUUGUUAGAAUUAUCAUGUUAUGCAGCAUGAGUAAUUGUUCAGCUUUGCUUCUCAAUGUUCUUCAAGUUCUGUGGCACCAGGUGUUGCACUCAGUGCUCUCAGAGCAGUUGGUGGCACUCAGACUUGCAGGGUACAGGCCACCUACUUGUUACAACAGUUGAUGGUCCAGACAUCAGUGGGUCCAACAAAGAGCAGAUAAUAAAAUUUUCAAGAUUGUUUUCCUGCCUUCUGUGUGUUUCUCUAAGAACCAACAAAACCACAGCAAAAGGAAAGUAGGUACUCCAUCAGCAUGGUGGAGCUCAGACUUCAUAGAUCAUCCCAAAGUAUGGUAUUUUCAUCAGACACAGCAAAGAUAUAAUUCGCCAAUUGGGAAGGUUUUGCAGCUAAGUAAGAAGAACUGAGUACAAUUUCAUCUUCAGUUGGGAUUUGAGAAAAAUAAUUGGGAAACUGCUUUCCCUAGAUUUCACCUGAUAUCCCAAAUCCUGAAGCAAGAAGAAUAGCCUGCAGAACUGUCAAUGUAACUGUUGGCAGUUGUGUUGGGACUUGGCUCCAAAGCGAUGAGCCCAAGGACUACCACAAAAAUCAUUUCCAUCAAGUGCGUGGAACAGCCCCAGACACAGUUGUACCAACACAAUUGUAAUCCUGCUAACAAUUAAGAGAGGGCAGAAACAUAUAAGUCCAGCACUUCCACCAGGGAAAACAGUUGUGCAACCACAAACACAAGCUGCUUAGCUUCAGGAAUCACUGUGAAAUGCACGCUGAGCUGGAAUGAUCAAAAGGGAGAAGAAAUGAGGGAAGGCUGUAGAGGAACGUCAAGCAAUUGACCUUUCCACUCAGCCACUCUGCUAUGAGCAUUUGUUUCAAACAACAGCUGUUUUCUAUAAAGCUGACUUGAAAAUUGGUGUCUUCCUACUUCUGAGAGAAUUUGUUCACUUCAUCUUUUUACUGGCAAAAGCACUGUUAUUGCUUUUUGUUCCCACCAGCCCUGCAAGAGCCACCUCAGCACUGAGGAGGUGAACCAGAGUCUAUUUUGGCAUAAACCAGAAAGAACACAGCUUGAAUUUUCAGUGCUGGCAAUCAAGAAAGUCAUAGUUUUAUUUGUAAAUUAAAAGAGAGGUCUACAAGAAAGUCAUUGGGAAGAAAAAAAAAUAGUAAUAAAGCAAACACGGAACCCUACCAUGUCAUUUACAAUCUCUUCAUAGAUGAGAGCACACUUUAUAUAAUGUAAUUUGAGCUAUAAAUAAUAUUAUUGUUUGUUUCAGCCAAAGAUCUGUACCUCAUUUAAUUAAGAAAAUGGAUGUGCUUGUGUUGUGUUACUCAUUACUAUAUUGUAAAAUAUACCUGUAAUGAUAUUCUAUGCAAAAAAUGACUGCACUGGCAGGGAAAAUGAGAGGAAGAACUUACCCAAAAUAUUUCCAGUAAAAAGAUAAAUGCAGAGUACUGUAUCUUUUUUUUUCCUUUAAAUCAAAUAGCUGAAAGUCAAAUUCUAAAGAAAAAGGAAUAGGGGAAGAAAUAUGAAUUGACAGAUGUGACUUUGGAAUACAAUUUUUAAAAUGGACCACUUGUAUCAAUAAGUCUGUGGGACAGAUUUAGCUUUUCCCUAUAUCUGUUCAGGACUCAGUGUGUUCCAUUCCCUUGGCUGAUAUGAAUUUUAUACUCAGCAGUAAGCUAUAUCAGUUUCUUAGGCUCACUAAUUUCAGAGGCCAUUGAUAAGAAAUUACUAUGUGAUGUCAAACAGAAAUAUUUACCGCAAAAGGGAAAUAAUCAUUCUUUUUCAAAUAUUGUAAAUGAAAACACCAUACAAACACAGAACUAGAAAAAAAAUUGUCAUGCUUUCUCUAUGUUUAAGAAGUUAACAGUGGAAGUUUUGUGGUAUUUCUCUAAGCCACAUAAAUGCUGACAUUUAAUUUUUACAAAGAUGACACAAACUUUUCUUCAGAAAGAAAACUAGAAAUGGGAUUUUAAGGAAAAUAAAACUUUAAGCAGCAUAAAACAUUAUUUUUUAAUGACAUUUCAUAAUAUUUGGAACAGGCUGUUUCAAUCAGGAGUAAGGCAGGUGGAAGAAAAGUCAAGAAGAAAUAAAUUAUUGUGAUGCAGAGUUAAUAAGGCAAAUGGAUGUGACUUGAUUUUUAAUGACUGGGUGCACCCAAUGACUAUCUACAGCAGUAUGAAUAGUGAGAUGUGAUAUUUCCAUGGCUCAUUGUGGUGGCUGCUGUUUCAUGCAGGGAAGAGGUUGAGGCUGGGACCUCCCCCUCGGAUCAGAGACCAAAGUCCAAGCAACAGUCUGUACUCAUGCCAAAUACCAUUUUUAAUAAAUCCAGUUAUAAAUAGAAACUUGUCUAUUCAGGCCAUGGAUUCAAAGGCAGCCAAGUGUGAUGCUGGUCAUGUCCCACCUCUGGCUAUCACUAGUUACAGAAAAUGGUACACUUCUGUUUGGAUAGCCACAUAAGCAAACCUUUAGCUCACUUAGAUACAGGUUGUUGAGGGUUUAGUGACAUGGAUUUACAUUUACAAGGACAAGUUAAACACAAGGAUCUGAAGUCAGUGCAAGAAAAUCAAAGCUACUGUUGAUAAGCUAAUUACAUGUCUACAACUACAGUGAGUAUAUAAAUCUAGAUCUUUAAUCAUAAUCUAGAUUAUGAUUAUUUUAUAAUCAGUUCGGGUUGCAUUAUUGUUUCAGUCAUCUGAGAACUACAACCAACAAUUCCUAGUUUUCAGUAUCUUGCAAACUUGUGGAGGAUGUCACCACAAGUGACAAUUAGCAGGCCAAUGUCAAGUCCAAUAGACACCAAAGAAAAAAAGGAAACAAAUGGCACCCUCUCCACAGAACCAGAAUUGCAGAGGUAUUACUGCUUGGAAAGGAGGGUUGGAGAAGAUGGGAAGCUAGGUACAGCUCAGGUGCUCUACAAUAAAUUGUAUGACCAUGGGAACGUGGUUUACAUUAUCCCUAGGCUGGCCAACAGCACAGUCAAAGCAGAGCAUCAUGAGCAUCUCAAAGAACAUUUUGAACCAUAAUGUAGCCAAAUAGUCUCCUUUAAAUCCUGGCACAGGUACCCUUCAGUGGUGUUUCUCUAGCACCAUCUGAAUCAUUCCUUCUCACCAGAAUAGCGGCAAGUGUUGUACCCACUAACAAUAAUAAUCAGAGGUUAAAUGUAUCCUAGUGCAGUACAUCUGGGAGAAAAGGCAUCCAUCCUUCUGGGGUCUGCAGAGGGCACUGAUUUCUGGGGCAUAUGGAGAGUUGAGCUUCACCCAGAAGCACCCAGGUCCUAAGGCAGGGGAGAGAUAGGCUUACAAGCCAUGGCCAAGACUGCUUGGGUCUGGGGCAUGGAACACUCAGUAUUGCUGGGGAUCAUCCCUUCUGUAGCUGUGCAUCAUCACUUACUGUGAACAUAAAUAAUGAUCCAUGAAAAAAAGAAAAUAGAAAACACUGUAGGGAAACAGUGCUGUAAUUGAAAUAAAUAACAUUUGAGGUGGAUGCACUUCAUGAGGAGAUUUCUACAUAAGAUUUUUAAACAUCUUUGGUGAACAAAUAUGUUUGUUUAUUUCGUGUGCAUACUUACAUAUAUAUGUAUAUACACUUAGAGCCAUUACCUAAAUCCCCAAUUUUGUUACUAAAGUGUUCUCAUUAUACUUAAGGUUUUUGUAUUUCUGUACCAUGGGAAAAGACCUUCCUGAACCUUCUUAUUCUGCAAUGUCAUGAAUUCUCAGGACAAAUGAAAGGAGUGUGUCAAGCUAAUGAAUAGUUCACUGGUUAGCAAACAAGAAGAGAUUGGGAGUUCCAGUACGGCAGCAGGGGCUUUAUGGAAUGCAGCAGUAAUUUUAACCUUUUAACUUGAUUAGAGUUUCUGAGGUAUCUAAAAGCAAGGAUUUUGACAGUAGAAUAAACUUCACUAAACAGGGAUCGUAUUUAUUUAGGAGUCAUUAGAAGUCUGGAAAUUCAAAAUAAUCGAAAGCUAUUGGUAAAAUAAGGCAGUGAUAAACAUUCAUCAUUAAGCUAAAAAUCAGUUUUAGCCAUAAAGAUAUUAUUAAAAGUAUAUUCCAUGAUAGUAAACUUGUUCAUUCUUCAUGUGUAUAUAUGCAUAUACAUGCAUACUCACAGACUAUAUAUAUAUAUAAAAGUCUGAUAAUUCACACAAGUCUGUGAGUUUUGAGCAUAGAAAAAACAUCACUUUGAGCAUGAAGAAGAAUAUACAUUCAAAUACAUAAAUUUCAGUAAUUUGGGGGCAGUACCAUUUUAACCCUAAUCUGUGUCUGUUGGCACAUAUUUCUCAGUAAUAGCAAGGGCACUGUAACAAAGGAUAUGCUGCUAGUCUUACUCCUGCUAAUUCACCCCACCACGACUCUGACAAACCAGAAACUGUAAAGAAUAAUGUGUCUGAGCCUGUUUCAAACAAUUCUUCUCAUGACUUGUACAUUUAGGAAGAUCCUGGUUUCUUUAAAACUUAUAUUUUGAGAACAUAACCAAAAAAUAGGUUAUACUGCUUAGUAGAAUUCAUUUAAAUAAUAAUUACAGAAAUAGAACUUUUGCAUGUAACUAUCUGUAUUCAUUUUUUUUUUUUUUAGAUUUAUUUAAUUAUACCUAUGACACUGAAGCUGUUUCAGAGCACUACAAUGGUUGCUUGAUUUUCACAUUAUUUUUUUUCUGGCAAAAACACUGACAUUUUUAUAGACUGAUAACUGAUAUUUUAACAGAUUAAUUUGUUUUAACGUAGCUCAAGAUUUUUUACUAUUAAUAUCUGAGACAUAAAAUAUUUCUAACACAGAGUUCAGAAUAUUAAAUAGAAGAACAUAAAUAUAGAAUACAUCUGAACAAUAACUGCUGGAUCUUAUCAUUGUAUUUGCUUUUCUGAACUUGGACAUUUCAGAGAAAUUUUGGUAUAUUGAAGAUACCUACAUAUUUUGCAGUAACAUCUUUUAUCUCCCUGCUGGUCCCAAAUACAUUAAAUCCAGUCACUUAUUGUGGUUAUGUUCCCCAUGCAACUUAUUCUGUUGAAAUUUGGAAGGCCUAAAAUAUAAUGAAAUGUCAACUAAAAUGGCACAUGUACUCUUAGUCUUCCCCUAAGAUUGAAAAUAAUGCUUGUGAGAUUCAUGGUUUUAGAAAAACUACAGCGUUAUAUUAUUUUAAUAUAAUUGUGGGCAUGGGUCUCUGGGUCUAGCCCAGGAUUCAGUGGCUAUUGUCUACACAACAGAUAGGUGUUAAAGGGUGGCAAAGAUCUCUCAUUUGGCCUUCAACUGACAUUGGAGGAGAAGCAAUAUUGAAGUGCAGAAGAAUUACCAAGUGUUGAUGUUUUACAUGAAGUACAGUGCUUUCUUCCAUGAAGUGUAGAAAGUAAUUGCUGUUGAUGAUUACACUAGAUAAAACUUCAGAGGUUUAGCCCACAGAUGAUUCUUGCAAUGAUCCUGAUUUUUAUUAGUUUUGUGAUAUUCUGUAGAAGAAAUCUGUAGGUAUAAUGCUCCAUGUUUCUAUUGACAAUUGGCAUCUAGGCACGUUAUGGUUCAUCUUAGUGCAUUGGCCAUCAACAAUCAUGAAUGCAAAGCAUUUUUGUAUCCAUGUGAGCCACUAUUUUGAACAACACCUUGUGUAAUCUUUUCAUUUCUUCAGAAAAAGAGUAGACAUCUUCAAAUAUCCUGUUCACUGACAAAUUAGUUUUAGUGUAAGUAGGCUAGAGGAGAAGAAACAAGAAGAGAUAAUCAGACUGUAAGCCUUUAUAGUAGUAGUAACUUAGUAGAACUAGCAAUCUUCUAUGUCUCCUCUUCCUCCACAUAGUCGCCAUGGGCUAGAUACAGAGGGGAAAGAAGCCUCUAGCCCUUGAGCAUGUAGCCAACUGAUUAAAGAUGUUUCACCUGUCUCCCAGGAAAGCUGGCCAGCAGUGAGAGAAGAACUUACAGAGAUAAAUGAAGGGGAAAAGAAAAAGAGAAGAAAGAUAAGAGUAUUGUUAGUCUUCUUUAUCAGUCUUAGGUGAUGUGAGAGAAUGAGUGAUCCCCUGUACAAGUGAUAUCUGAGAAGAGAAAGUACAGUUGGUUAAUACCAAAAAAAGAUCAAAGCAGAUGCAAUCGCUUACUUCACCUUUCAGGAGCAGUCUGCUAUGGAUUGUUGGGUAAAGUACACGGAAGGACUGACUGCAAAAGCUUCCUUGCAGCAGGCAUGCUAACCCACCAGGCAUCAUGAAAAUCUUCCUUUUCUGAUGCAUAUAAACAGGCAUGAUAGAAAGAAUUUUGGUCAAGAUGAAGUUGGUGGUACAUCAGUAGCAAUCUAAAAGCUUUAUCUUAACAUAUAAGUAAUACUGGAUGCAUUAAAGAAAAGGCCUCCAAAGUAAAAGUACCAAAAUUAAACUCAACACAAAAAAAGCUUAUAUCAGUUAUAGGAGACUCACUAAAAGGAUUCAACCUUUAAAUGAAACAAGGAAACAAAAACAAAAAUAAACAUUUUGCUCAGGUAUAGGAUGGAAAUUCAAUCUAAAUAAAGACAAACAAAACAAACACAUAUUAGAGAAUAAAAUUCAAACUGAGUAGAUAACAAAGGGAAAACAGUCGUAAAUUCAAAAUUGAGCUGCAGAACAGUUCAGGAGAAAACCUAUUUCCAACCUUGGAUGAAGUCAUAUAACUCCAUUGGAUCUCUUGUGGUGAACAGCAGUAUUUGUGCAGGGACACCAGAAGGAGGCCUGAAAAGGAUGAGUGAGACUCCUGGUUAAGAAUUCAUAAGGACAUUCUGGAGAAGUUCAGUAAAGAUCCUGCCAGGAUUUUUCUCAUAGAGACUGGGGAGCUACCUAAAAUUAGAUUUUGAGGCAAUAAUCAUGGGACAACAAAAGGCAAAGCCCAGUCAUAAGUCAGUAAUUUACAUAACAUCAAGCUACACCACUUUUUGUUAUACUUUAGUUGCUAUACUUUAUGUAAAGUGUUUUGAAAAAUAAUUUGAAAUUGGUAGAUGUUUACCUCAUAUUCAGGUAUGUUUCUUCAGAAACGUUUGCCGUAUCUUAGAAGCAGCAUAUCUGCAAUGUGAUGCAGGAGUUGCUAUGGUGAGUUCACAUCUCUUAUUUAAUGCUGCACCUGAGUAAAUACACAUUUUAACAAUCUCUGGUAGAGGUGCUAUUAGUAAUGUUAUGUCAGCACUUCUACCAUAAAUACUUAUUUUCAUGUUGCAACUUCUCCAAAAACAAAGAACACCAUUCCUCGGCAAAAUCCACAGAGGCCUUUGCACUCAUCUAUUUUAUUUUUUCACAGCUUCAAUCAAUUUCUGAAAUCCUCUGUCAUAAAAAUGAAACAAAAAUUAGUGAGCUUAUUUCUAUUCUUCUGCUGUUAGUGAUUUUCAUGACAGUCAUAACACCCUCCAUUUAUAAAAAUACUUAGAAAAACUGCGGAGGUUAAUUUUCAUUUCACUGUUCCAGUCUGUGCCAGUAGGCAUUUAGUCAGGCAUUCAUCGCAUUACUUGUUUUACAGCCCUUCUGUACUGUCAGAGUGGUAUAAAGAGACUUUUGUGUAAAGAAGAAUCGGGUCUUUAGUUCUUGUAUUUAAAGGCUCGAUUUAACUAAAUGGCAUCAGAAAUUUAACUUGUAGACUUCAGUGUAUUCUUCCUGAGGAAUUUUAUUUGAGUUGUUCUCCAGGAUAACAUAGAAGAAAGAAGUGCAUUGCUGGAAAUAAUAAAAUAUGUUUAACUUUUUGUCCUGUAUUUGUUUUUCUAAUAGUUUACUUUGAAAAAUAGUAAGUUUCUGAAAAG
ensembl:lncRNA